AGUUUGAUCCUGGCCUAGGAUGAACGCUAGCUACAGGCUUAACACAUGCAAGUCGAGGGGAAACGAUAGAGAAAGCUUGCUUUUUCUAGGCGUCGACCGGCGCACGGGUGAGUAACGCGUAUCCAACCUGCCCACCACUUGGGGAUAACCUUGCGAAAGUAAGACUAAUACCCAAUGAUAUCUCUAGAAGACAUCUGAAGGAGAUUAAAGAUUUAUCGGUGAUGGAUGGGGAUGCGUCUGAUUAGCUUGUUGGCGGGGUAACGGCCCACCAAGGCGACGAUCAGUAGGGGUUCUGAGAGGAAGGUCCCCCACAUUGGAACUGAGACACGGUCCAAACUCCUACGGGAGGCAGCAGUGAGGAAUAUUGGUCAAUGGGCGAGAGCCUGAACCAGCCAAGUAGCGUGCAGGAUGACGGCCCUAUGGGUUGUAAACUGCUUUUAUAAGGGAAUAAAGUGAGCCUCGUGAGGCUUUUUGCAUGUACCUUAUGAAUAAGGACCGGCUAAUUCCGUGCCAGCAGCCGCGGUAAUACGGAAGGUCCGGGCGUUAUCCGGAUUUAUUGGGUUUAAAGGGAGCGUAGGCCGGAGAUUAAGCGUGUUGUGAAAUGUAGAUGCUCAACAUCUGCACUGCAGCGCGAACUGGUUUCCUUGAGUACGCACAAAGUGGGCGGAAUUCGUGGUGUAGCGGUGAAAUGCUUAGAUAUCACGAAGAACUCCGAUUGCGAAGGCAGCUCACUGGAGCGCAACUGACGCUGAAGCUCGAAAGUGCGGGUAUCGAACAGGAUUAGAUACCCUGGUAGUCCGCACGGCAAACGAUGGAUGCCCGCUGUUGGUCUGAAUAGGUCAGCGGCCAAGCGAAAGCAUUAAGCAUCCCACCUGGGGAGUACGCCGGCAACGGUGAAACUCAAAGGAAUUGACGG
rnacentral:rRNA from 1 species